rnacentral:lncRNA from 1 species
UGAUUUAUCUGACAGCUGCACUCUGUCUUCACAUGGACUGUCAGGAGGCUUAGAAUUGGGUCGGAGCCACAAGUUUCCUGGCCUCUUUGAGUAUGGUUGUGACACCUUGCAAACUGAUGAAUUUGAGGACACAGCGCUGCCUCGACUGAGUCCGCCUACUUUGGGGGUUUUAGAAGUUCAGAUUCAUUCCACAAAUUUGACUGAAGAUGCUGCUGUGUGCCAGGCACAUGGCCAGGGUGACAGGCGGGGCUCCCAUGCUGAUUAGGGAGCAGGCACAGGCAUCUCUAGGUGAACAACUAAGCAAGGUGACUGCAGCUGGGACAAGUGCCAGACAAGAAGGAAGCACGAUGCUGGCCUGGAGUUGGGGUGUGUUGGGGGAGGGGGUUCUUCAGGCAGAGAGAGCAGGGAAGUCAGCGAACAGAGUUAAUUCACACGGUGCAAAUUAAGCCUUCAUCUUGGUGCCUGACACACAGUAAAGCCCUAACUCGCUAUCACUGCUACGGCUGUUAUUGGUGUCGUCAUCUCUCCGUUAUGUGUGCUUCUGCUGGGCGAAGGCAAGGGGAAUACAUUGCCGGAAUUCCAGGAAACGAUGAAGACUUUGCAAAGGUCCCAGCAGUGGAGGGGUGGAGAACUCCAUGCCCUAAGGUGUCUCCUCUCUUCCUUCUCUGGCGGUACCGAGGGGCUUGGUGGUCCAUCGUACGUGGGCACUCUCUGUCCAAACCAGCAUCUCCAAGCCUUAAUUUGCUGCAACGGCCCAAGAUUUAAACGUCUACAUUUUCCUGGUUGGUAUUGUAGUGCAAAUAUCGAUUCCUUUCUGUGCAAGUCCUGACUUCACGUGGGGGCAGUGACUAGUGAACGGCCCGUCCUCGCGGAGUAAAUAUGCCGUGUACAGCAGUCGUUGAACGAUUACCGUGCAGCCCAGCUGUCUUAACGCUAAGAGUGCCCGCUUUGCUUCUGAAGAUGAUCAAGUUGAAUUAAAGCCGUUUUGUCCAACAUUUGAAUGCUCCUUCGCACAAAACACAGGCAAAGGGAAGAUGGCAUGGAACUCCGGGCAGGGC